UGGUCAUAGUAGGCCUGUCAUAUUUGCCAAAGAAGCAGUGUGGGGGAGGGAAGACUGGCAUCUGGCUGCUCUCUCUGCCGCUCCUAGGGUGAGGCAGAAGGGACCUUGGCUGAACACCAAUGUGAUUCGGUACAUCCAGCUGACGGAGAUGAAACUCAGCAGAUGUUCUCAAAGGGAGAAAGAAGCCAUGUAACAAAGCAGCCUCUCUCGAGCCACACUCACACCUGACCAGGGACUUCCAGGCACCCGGUGGUGGAGAGUCCCGACGUGGGUUCUCUCCUCUUCCCAGCUCUUCCUGUACUUCUGUUGCUCAUCCUGUUGCUGCCCCAACUCUUGUCUGUCAGAAGGUGAGAGGCGUUCUUGGACCUUGGUGAGCAGCCCAAACAUGGACUUAUCCUCUUCUCUACUACGCCAGCAAAUGGGACAGAUGGGCAAGAGUCUCGUGGACUGGGGGUGGUCCUAUGUCUUUGACUGGCUCUGAGCGUGGCGCCUGUGGAGCACAGUCUGGAUCCUUCUGCAGCUUCCCAGUGGAUCAGAGAAGCAUCUGAAGGGAAUCGGGGCUGAUGAACGCAAUAACCAUUGGUCAGACCAAUGCUGAGAUUG
rnacentral:lncRNA from 1 species